rnacentral:rRNA from 1 species
UACGGAGGGGGCUAGCGUUGUUCGGAAUUACUGGGCGUAAAGCGCGCGUAGGCGGCUUUGUAAGUUAGAGGUGAAAGCCCGGAGCUCAACUCCGGAACUGCCUUUAAGACUGCAUCGCUAGAAUUGUGGAGAGGUGAGUGGAAUUCCGAGUGUAGAGGUGAAAUUCGUAGAUAUUCGGAAGAACACCAGUGGCGAAGGCGGCUCACUGGCCCGGUACUGACGCUGAGGUGCGAAAGCGUGGGGAGCAAACAGGG